rnacentral:rRNA from 1 species
GGGAUACCCUGCGGAGGGAUCCAUAGGAGUUUCCAACUCCCAANCCCCUGUGAACAUACCAUUGGUUGCUUCGGCGGAUCAGCCCCGCUCCCGGUAAAACGGGACGGGCCCGCCAGAGGCCCCCAACUCUGUUUCUAUAUGUAACUUCUGAGUAAACCCAUAAAUAAAUCAAAAACUUUCAACAACGGGAUCUCUUGGUUCUGGCAUCGAUGAAGAACGCAGCAAAAUGCGAUAAGUAAUGUGAAUUGCAGAAUUCAGUGAAUCAUCGAAUCUUUGAACGCACAUUGCGCCCGCCAGUAUUCUGGCGGGCAUGCCUGUUCGAGCGUCAUUUCAACCCUCAAGCCCUCGGGUUUGGUGUUGGGACUCGCGAGUUAAAUCGCGUUCCCCAAAUUGAUUGGCGGUCACGUCGAGCUUCCAUAGCGUAGUAGUAAAACCCUCGUUACUGGUAAUCGUCGCGGCCACGCCGUUAAACCCCAACUUCUGAAUGUUGACCUCG